rnacentral:rRNA from 1 species
GACGAACGCUGGCGGCGUGCUUAACACAUGCAAGUCGAACGGAAAGGCCCUGCUUGCAGGGUACUCGAGUGGCGAACGGGUGAGUAACACGUGGGUGAUCUGCCCUGCACUUCGGGAUAAGCCUGGGAAACUGGGUCUAAUACCGGAUAGGAGCCAUUUUUAGUGUGAUGGUUGGAAAGUUUUUUCGGUGUAGGAUGAGCUCGCGGCCUAUUAGCUUGUUGGUGGGGUAAUGGCCUACCAAGGCGGCGACGGGUAGCCGGCCUGAGAGGGUGGACGGCCACAUUGGGACUGAGAUACGGCCCAGACGCCGACGGGAGGCAGCAGUGGGGAAGAUUGCACAAUGGGCGCAAGCCUGAUGCAGCGACGCCGCGGGGGGGAGGACGGCCUUCGGGUUGUAAACGCCUUUCGCUAGGGACGAAGCUUUUUGUGACGGUACCUAGAGAAGAAGCACCGGCUAACUACGUG